rnacentral:misc_RNA from 1 species
AAAAUGCGAUAAGUAAUGCGAAUUGCAGAAUUUUAGUGAGUCAUCGAAUCUUUGAACGCACAUUGCGCCCUUUGGUAUUCCGAAGGGCAUGCCUGUUCGAGCGUCAUUAUCACCCCUCAAGCUUGGGCUUGUCGUUGAACCCUCAGGUCCGUUAGACGACCGGUUCGAAAGAUAGUGACGGUUGCCAAUCUGACCCUCGGUGCAAUGAGCUCUCACCAGCACGCGCCGUGGUCUGAUAGCCCGGUCUUUGUAUCCUUUUUUUACAAGGUUGACCUCGGAUCAGGUAGGAAUACCCGCUGAACUUAA